GCAGGGCAGGCAGGACUUGUCUUGCAGGAUGGCUUUGCAAUCUGCUGUCAUUCUUUGCUCUUCAUGGUACAGCAAGUGAAUUCUGUUUGGUUCUGAAUUAGAGGAGGGAAGCAUUAAAAAUGUUCUGAAGUGGUUUUCAAAGUGGAAAACAAAAGACUUCUAACAACAGUUUUCCACAACUGGAACUGCAGCAGACAGAGGUGGAGGUUUCUGAAUUGCACCAAGAAUGUGAUGGUGGUGAUGCCUUCCUUGAAGAGGAGCUGCAUUUCCUCUGAAUGGUUUGAGUCCUGGUGGAAGCUAGGAAGAGCCUGAGGAGGCAAGAAUGGAGAUGACCAGGACCAGUCCUUAGAUAAGCAGAAAGUUAGAAUUUUUUCCUCUAAUCCUAAUUGUUUUCUCAAGAUUGUGGCCGCUGAGGCAAGCAUGCAUCACAAAGAACACUGCUGAGAUAUCGGAGAAGGACAGCUACAAGGUCAGGGGAUUUGAUCAGAACAUCCAUCAAUCUUCUGUAUUGUGCUUUGAUAUGACUACAGUAAAUCUCUGCUUCAUAAGGCUAAGCCUUAAGCUAUCCAGAAGCUUUGUCUCAGUUGUCACACAUCCUCAGAUGACCAUCCUACCAAAUGACCUCUUUUGUGGAUGGAAGUAAGUGGACUAGAGAGCCUCUGAUAAAAGCAACAGCUGAGAAAGUGCAAUUCUAUACUAAGAAAUCAACUCUACCUCUGCGGUGGUGGUAAUCUCUGUAAAGUUUGCUCAAUGCCAACAGUGACUUAACACAGAUCUUAUGAAAAAUAAAGUGACCCAAAUUCAUAACUGUUGUGAAUGCUUCACUGCUUAAAGCAUUUUUUCAUUAAGGUUGAUUUUAACUCAAGAUCUCCAUCUUAUUCUCUGAAUCCCUGAUAAUGACGUGUUUGACUGUCUCUCUAUAAAAGUCAGAAAACAUUCAGGCUUAGAUUUCAUCCACAAUUCAACAUAAUGGUCUUAAAUAUAAGAAGUGGGAUUAAGUAAGUUAGUUUUGAGAUCUGUUGUAGGUUUAGCCUUUCUUUAGCCCUUUUUCUUUCUUCUCUUUACCUGAUUUGUUCUCUUCCUGUUUAUUGUACUCUUGAAAGAAAGAAUAGCUCUCUGUGUUUAUUGUCCCUAUCAGUUUAAUGUCAGGUCAAAUCUGUAAUUUAAAAUGUUCCUUUUUUGUACUGGCCAAAAAUAAAAAAAAUAAAAUCCAAAACACCACAUCUUAUGAUGAUAUCAUUCACUUUCACUGAACCAUCUGGAGUUCUGGAGAUGAAGCUGCAAACUGUCAACAUCUGAUGGAAAGCAAGUAGAGUUCACUAAAAGGGAAUUUUAAGCUGGAGAAUCAUCCUGUAGAAAGUUUAGUGCAGUUCAAUGCUGGAGGAAGGAAAUCAUUAUCUAUCAAAGAACCUCCUGCCCCAAAGCCAUAGCAUUAGGACAUACCUCGUGCUGUG
rnacentral:lncRNA from 1 species